CUCAAUUAAUAAUUUCAGGAGGAUGAGGAAGGAGUGAACAUUGAUAAUAAAAUUAUAGUUUGAAAUCUAGAAGUUUAUAGAGUUAUUUAUCAUUAUUGUUAAGCAUGGCCCUAGUGGAAAGUUGUUUAUGCAAUAUUACUAGGUCAUAGACUUUUAAAAUUAUUCGAGUCACCUUUUCGAUUAAUUAAUGUUUUUUUUUUCUUCAUGUUGUAGGGAUUGCGGACAUAGCAAGACUACCAAUUUACUACUUAAUUUAUGGACGAGAUUAUGAUCCGCUAUAUUACCUAGAUCUUCCAAUCAAAUUACUGACAUACUUGACCAUAUAUAGAUUACGGUAAGAACC